rnacentral:piRNA from 1 species
UGUCGUUGAGUUCUGACUGCAGGGA